rnacentral:rRNA from 1 species
UACGUAGGGGGCUAGCGUUGUCCGGAAUCAUUGGGCGUAAAGAGCGUGUAGGCGGCCCGGUAAGUCCGCUGUAAAAGUCAAAGGCUCAACCUUUGAAUGUCAGUGGAUAUUGCCGGGCUAGAGUCCGGAAGAGGCGAGUGGAACUCCUGGUGUAGCGGUGGAAUGCGCAGAUAUCAGGAAGAACACCAACGGCGAAGGCAGCUCGCUGGGACGGUACUGACGCUGAGACGCGAAAGCGUGGGGAGCGAACAGG